CAAGAGCGUAUAUUAAAGUUGUUGCAGUUAAAAAGCUCGUAGUUGGAUUUCUGGUACAACGCGCCUGGCCCGCCUCAAUUCUGAGUGUGUGUGCGAGUGCGCGUCUGCCAUCCAUUUGCAGAAUGUGCCUACUCUUCAUUGAGCCGGGUACGUGAUGUAAAUCUUUUACUUUGAAAAAUUAGAGUGUUUAAAGCAGGCAUUUGCUAUGAAUACAUUAGCAUGGAAUAAUAAUCUAGGACUUCGGUUCUAUUUUGUUGGUUUCUUAGAUCUGAAGUAAUGAUUGAUAGGGAUAGUUGGGGGUGGCUAGUAUUAAGGGGCCAGAGGUGAAAUUCUUGGAUUCUCUUAAGACUAACUUAUGCGAAAGCAUUCACCAAGGAUGUCUUCUUUAAUUCAAGAACGAAAGUUAGGGGGAGUCAAAGACGAU
rnacentral:rRNA from 1 species